rnacentral:rRNA from 1 species
GCGGGACACGUGGUAUCCUGUCUGAAUAUGGGGGGACCAUCCUCCAAGGCUAAAUACUCCUGACUGACCGAUAGUGAACCAGUACCGUGAGGGAAAGGCGAAAAGAACCCCGGCGAGGGGAGUGAAAAAGAACCUGAAACCGUGUACGUACAAGCAGUGGGAGCCUCUUUUAUGGGGUGACUGCGUACCUUUUGUAUAAUGGGUCAGCGACUUAUAUUCUGUAGCAAGGUUAACCGAAUAGGGGAGCCGAAGGGAAACCGAGUCUUAACUGGGCGUUAAGUUGCAGGGUAUAGACCCGAAACCCGGUGAUCUAGCCAUGGGCAGGUUGAAGGUUGGGUAACACUAACUGGAGGACCGAACCGACUAAUGUUGAAAAAUUAGCGGAUGACUUGUGGCUGGGGGUGAAAGGCCAAUCAAACCGGGAGAUAGCUGGUUCUCCCCGAAAGCUAUUUAGGUAGCGCCUCGUGAAUUCAUCUCCGGGGGUAGAGCACUGUUUCGGCAAGGGGGUCAUCCCGACUUACCAACCCGAUGCAAACUGCGAAUACCGGAGAAUGUUAUCACGGGAGACACACGGCGGGUGCUAACGUCCGUCGUGAAGAGGGAAACAACCCAGACCGCCAGCUAAGGUCCCAAAGUCAUGGUUAAGUGGGAAACGAUGUGGGAAGGCCCAGACAGCCAGGAUGUUGGCUUAGAAGCAGCCAUCAUUUAAAGAAAGCGUAAUAGCUCACUGGUCGAGUCGGCCUGCGCGGAAGAUGUAACGGGGCUAAACCAUGCACCGAAGCUGCGGCAGCGACGCUUAUGCGUUGUUGGGUAGGGGAGCGUUCUGUAAGCCUGUGAAGGUGUACUGUGAGG